GUUGUGUAUGAUCUCAAAUCUUGUCUUUCCAUCUAACGGCUCACAUUCGUUUACUCAAACGUGAAGGUUAUAUUUUCCGAAGCAGAUCAUAAUCUUUUUCUACUGCAUAGAGAAGAGUUGGAAGGAAGAAAAGAAAUAGAAAUAAAGAGCGCGAUGGCUUCAUUCACCAUUGCUCUUUCGUUCCGGCAACAGCAACCGGAAGAGUUUUUGAGGUGACGGCGGCGAAGAGAUCCGGUGGAAACAGAGAGGAGAAAGGACCGCUGGAUUGGAUCCUGGGAAAAUUACAGAAGGAAGACCAGUUUUAUGAAACCGACCCUAUCCUUAAGAAGACUGAGGAGAAGAACGGUGGCACCACAAAUCGUAAUAAGAAUUCAGUUACAGUUCCACCCAAGAAGAAGGCUGGUGGCUUUGGAGGCCUUUUCGCCAAGUACUGAAAGCCUAU